AUACGUAGGGAGCGAGCGUUGUCCGGAAUUACUGGGCGUAAAGGGCGCGUAGGCGGCGCUUCAAGUCGUCUGUCAAAUGGGAGGGCUUAACCCUUUUUCGCAGACGAAACUGGAGAGCUUGAGAAGCAGAGAGGCAAACAGAAUUCCUGGUGUAGCGGGGAAAUGCGUAGAUAUCAGGAAGAAUACCAAUGGCGAAGGCGGUUUGCUGGCUGCAUACUGACGCUGAAGCGCGAAAGCCAGGGGAGCAAACGGGAUUAGAUACCCCGGUAGUCCUGGCAGUAAACGAUGUAUGCUGGGUGUGAGACUAGCGAUAGUUUCGUGCCGAAGUUAACGCGAUAAGCAUACCGCCUGGGGAGUACGGUCGCAAGAUUGAAACUCAAAGGAAUUGACGGGG
rnacentral:rRNA from 1 species